GGGCUUGCGUCCGAUUAGCUCGUUGGUGGGGUAACGGCCUACCAAGGCUGAGAUCGGUAGCUGGUCUGAGAGGAUGAUCAGCCACACUGGGACUGAGACACGGCCCAGACUCCUACGGGAGGCAGCAGCAGGGAAUAUUGCGCAAUGGGCGAAAGCCUGACGCAGCAACGCCGCGUGGGGGAAGAAGGCCUUCGGGUUGUAAACCCCUUUUCUCGGGGAAGUGACGGUACCCGAGGAAUAAGCCUCGGCUAACUACGUGCCAGCAGCCGCGGUAAGACGUAGGAGGCGAGCGUUAUCCGGAUUUACUGGGCGUAAGGGGCGUGUAGGCGGCUCUUUAAGUCUGUGGUGAAAUCUCCCGGCUCAACCGGGAGGGUGUCAUAGAAACUGGGGAGCUUGAGGGCAGCAGAGGGAGGUGGAAUUCCCGGUGUAGUGGUGAUAUGCGUAGAU
rnacentral:rRNA from 1 species